GACGAACGCUGGCGGCGUGCUUAACACAUGCAAGUCGAACGGAAAGGCCCUGCUUUUGUGGGGUGCUCGAGUGGCGAACGGGUGAGUAACACGUGAGUAACCUGCCCUUGACUUUGGGAUAACUUCAGGAAACUGGGGCUAAUACCGGAUAGGAGCUCCUGCUGCAUGGUGGGGGUUGGAAAGUUUCGGCGGUUGGGGAUGGACUCGCGGCUUAUCAGCUUGUUGGUGGGGUAGUGGCUUACCAAGGCUUUGACGGGUAGCCGGCCUGAGAGGGUGACCGGCCACAUUGGGACUGAGAUACGGCCCAGACUCCUACGGGAGGCAGCAGUGGGGAAUAUUGCACAAUGGGCGGAAGCCUGAUGCAGCAACGCCGCGUGCGGGAUGACGGCCUUCGGGUUGUAAACCGCUUUCGCCUGUGACGAAGUGUGAGUGGCGGUAAUGGGUAAAGAAGCACCGGCUAACUACGUG
rnacentral:rRNA from 1 species